rnacentral:rRNA from 1 species
CCUACGGGUGGCUGCAGUGAGGAAUAUUGGUCAAUGGGCGCGAGCCUGACCCAGCCAAGUAGCGUGAAGGAUGACUGCCCUCCGGGUUGUAAACUUCUUUUAUAAAGGAAUAAAGUGAGGCACGUGUGCCUUUUUGUAUGUACUUUAUGCAUAAGGAUCGGCUAACUCCGUGCCAGCAGCCGCGGGAAUACGGAGGAUCCGAGCGUUAUCCGGAUUUGUUGGGUUUAAAGGGAGCGUAGAUGGGUUGUUAAGUCAGUUGGGAAAGUUUGCGGCUCAACCGUAAAAUUGCAAUUGAUACUGGCAGUCUUGAGUACAGGUGAGGUAGGCGGAAUUCGUGGUGUAGCGGUGAAAUGCUUAGAUAUCACGAAGAACUCCGAUGGCGAAGGCAGCUUACUAAACUGCCACUGACAUUGAGGCUCGAAAGUGUGGGUAUCAAACAGGAUUAGAUACCCCAGUAGUC